rnacentral:rRNA from 1 species
AGGGUUUGAUCAUGGCUCAGAUUGAACGCUGGCGGCAUGGAUUAGGCAUGCAAGUCGAACGCUAAACUCUAGCUUGCUAGAGUAGAAAGUGGCGAAAGGGUGAGUAACACGUGAGUAAUCUGCCUCUAACUCGGGGAUAGGCUUUGGAAACGAAGAUUAAUACCGGAUGUGAAUGUUUUUCCGCAUGGUUAAAUAUUUAAAAUUUUUUGGUUGGAGAUGGGCUCGCGUCCCAUUAGUUAGUUGGUAAGGUAAUGGCUUACCAAGACUAUGACGGGUAGGUGGUCUGAGAGGAUGGUCACCCACACUGGAACUGAGACACUGUCCAGACUCCUACGGGAGGCUGCAGUCGAGAAUCUUCCGCAAUGGGCGAAAGCCUGACGGAGCAAUGCCGCGUGAUUGAUGAAGGCCUUCGGGUUGUAAAGAUCUGUCACCUAGGACGAAAUUUGACGGUACUAGGAGAGGAAGUGACGGCUAACUACGUGCCAGCAGCCGCGGUAAUACGUAGGUCACGAGCGUUAAUCGGAUUUAUUGGGCGUAAAGGGUCCGCAGGGGGUUUUAUAAGUUUGGUGUGAAAUGUCGAGGCUCAACCUCGAAACUGCAUUGAAAACUGUAGAACUAGAAUAUUGGAGAGGAAAGUGGAAUUCCUGGUGUAGCGGUGGAAUGCUUAGAUAUCAGGAGGAACAUCAAUGGCGAAGGCAGCUUUCUGGACAAUUAUUGACCCUCAUGGACGAAGGUGUGGGUAGCAAACAGGAUUAGAUACCCUGGUAGUCCACACAGUAAACGGUCUAUACUAGCUGUUGGGGGAUUUGACCCCCUCGGUGGCCAAGCUAACGCGUUAAGUAUA